rnacentral:rRNA from 1 species
ACGAACGCUGGCGGCGUGCUUAACACAUGCAAGUCGAACGGUGAAGCGCCUUCCUUUUUGGUGGGUGUGGAUGAGUGGCGAACGGGUGAGUAACACGUGAGUAACCUGCCCCCUUCUUCUGGAUAACCGCAUGAAAGUGUGGCUAAUACGGGAUAUUCUGGGUCUGUCGCAUGAUGGGUCUGGGAAAGAUAUUGUUUCGGUGGGGGAUGGGCUCGCGGCCUAUCAGCUUGUUGGUGGGGUGAUGGCCUACCAAGGCGGUGACGGGUAGCCGGCCUGAGAGGGUGGACGGUCACACUGGGACUGAGACACGGCCCAGACUCCUACGGGAGGCAGCAGUGGGGAAUAUUGCACAAUGGGCGCAAGCCUGAUGCAGCGACGCCGCGUGAGGGAUGGAGGCCUCCGGGUUGUGAACCUCUUUCGCCAGUGAAGCAGGCCUGCCUCGUUUGUGGGUGGGUUGACGGUAGCUGGAUAAGAAGCGCCGGCUAACUACGUG